GCCCUUAGAGUUUGAUCAUGGCUCAGGAUGAACGCUGGCGGCGUGCCUAAUACAUGCAAGUCGAACGAGUGGCGGACGGGUGAGUAGCACGUGGGUAACCUGCCCUUAAGUGGGGGAUAACAUUUGGAAACAGAUGCUAAUACCGCAUAGAUCCAAGAACCGCAUGGUUCUUGGCGAAAGAUCGCUUUUGGAUGGACCCGCGGCGUAUUAGCUAGUUGGUGAGGUAAUGGCUCACCAAGGCGAUGAUACGUAGCCGAACUGAGAGGUUGAUCGGCCACAUUGGGACUGAGACACGGCCCAAACUCCUACGGGAGGCAGCAGUAGGGAAUCUUCCACAAUGGACGCAAGUCUGAUGGAGCAACGCCGCGUGAGUGAAGAAGGCUUUCGGGUCGUAAAACUCUGUUGUUGGAGAAG
rnacentral:rRNA from 1 species